GUUCUUCGGAACAUUUGGUCAAUUUGAAACGAUACAGAGAAGAUUAGCAUGGCCCCUGCACUAAGGAUGACACGCUCAAUCAAAGAGAAGCUACCAUUUUUU
rnacentral:snRNA from 1 species